GUGAACGCUGGCGGUAGGCCUAACACAUGCCCGUCGAACGGCAGCACAGUAAGAGCUUGCUCUUACGGGUGGCGAGUGGCGGACGGGUGAGGAAUACAUCGGAAUCUACUUUUUCGUGGGGGAUAACGUAGGGAAACUUACGCUAAUACCGCAUACGACCUACGGGUGAAAGCAGGGGAUCUUCGGACCUUGCGCGAUUGAAUGAGCCGAUGUCGGAUUAGCUAGUUGGCGGGGUAAAGGCCCACCAAGGCGACGAUCCGUAGCUGGUCUGAGAGGAUGAUCAGCCACACUGGAACUGAGACACGGUCCAGACUCCUACGGGAGGCAGCAGUGGGGAAUAUUGGACAAUGGGCGCAAGCCUGAUCCAGCCAUACCGCGUGGGUGAAGAAGGCCUUCGGGUUGUAAAGCCCUUUUGUUGGGAAAGAAAAGCAGCAGGUUAAUACCCCGCUGUUCUGACGGUACCCAAAGAAUAAGCACCGGCUAACUUCGUG
rnacentral:rRNA from 1 species